AACAAACGCUGGCGGCGUGCCUAACACAUGCAAGUCGUACGAGAAAGGGUCCUUCGGGGCCUGAGUAAAGUGGCGCACGGGCGAGUAACGCGUGGAUAAUCUGCCCUUCAGUUGGGAAUAACUCAUCGAAAGGUGGGCUAAUACCGAAUAAUGCUGUGAGACCUCGGUUGAUCAGCCAAAGAGAGCCUCUGCUUGCAAGCCCUCGCUGAAGGAUGAGUCCGCGUACCAUUAGCUAGUUGGUAGGGUAAUGGCCUACCAAGGCGACGAUGGUUGGCUGGUCUGAGAGGAUGAUCAGCCACACUGGAACUGAGACACGGUCCAGACUCCUACGGGAGGCAGCAGUGAGGAAUCUUGCGCAAUGGGGCAACCCUGACGCAGCAACGCCGCGUGAGUGAGGAAGGUCUUCGGAUCGUAAAGCUCUGUCGGAUGGAAAGAACCGCAUAGGGGUAAACAGCCCCUGUGUCUGACGGUACCAUCAAAGGAAGCACCGGCUAACUCCGUGCCAGCCGCCGCCGUAAGAC
rnacentral:rRNA from 1 species